AAUAUUCCCAUCACUUGGAGCAAAAUAUUCAUUGAUACCAGAUGAUCGAUAUGGUACAACUAUAACUGUUGAACUUUGCAGUGUUACGUAUGAGUCAGAUCAAGAGAUGGAUGUAAAUCAAGAAUCUGAUACUGAAACUAACGAAGUUUCAAGUACACAAAAUAAUGAUGUUGCCAUA